rnacentral:rRNA from 1 species
UACGUAGGGUGCAAGCGUUGUCCGGAAUUAUUGGGCGUAAAGAGCUCGUAGGCGGCUUGUCACGUCUGCUGUGAAAACUCGGGGCUCAACUCCGAGCCUGCAGUGGAUACGGGCUAGCUAGAGUGCGGUAGGGGAGACUGGAAUUCCUGGUGUAGCGGUGAAAUGCGCAGAUAUCAGGAGGAACACCGGUGGCGAAGGCGGGUCUCUGGACCGAUACUGACGCUGAGGAGCGAAAGCGUGGGGAGCGAACAGG